GUGUUCUUCUCUCUGAUUCACAGUGAGGUCUCGGAAGAAAACUGCAUCAACUCAGCUGACCAGAAGGCUGCUGAGUGACUGGAAAUGUUCCUGAAGAGUGUAUGCUGUGGCAGGUAACAUCUGGAUCUCCCACAUCAGAUGGUGAGAUCUGACAAUUGUGACCAAGUUUAUUUGUAAAGAUUUGCUGCAUCCAUGCAAGGGAAAAGCAGAGCAGCUGGCCUAUAGCAAGGGAAAGCAUUAAGAAUCAAAAUAGAAUCGAACGGAAGACUUCCUGAAGCAGACAUACAGUGUACUUCUCCCAGAAUACAACAAUAGGA